rnacentral:rRNA from 1 species
UACGUAGGGUGCGGGCGUUGUCCGGAAUUAUUGGGCGUAAAGAGCUUGUAGGCGGUUUGUCGCGUCUGCUGUGAAAAUCCGGGGCUCAACCCCGGACUUGCAGUGGGUACGGGCAGACUAGAGUGUGGUAGGGGAGACUGGAAUUCCUGGUGUAGCGGUGGAAUGCGCAGAUAUCAGGAGGAACACCGAUGGCGAAGGCAGGUCUCUGGGCCACUACUGACGCUGAGAAGCGAAAGCAUGGGGAGCGAACAGG